CACGCCGUAAACGAUGGGUACUAGGUGUGGGGGGUGUCGACUCCCUCCGUGCCGAAGCUAACGCAUUAAGUACCCCGCCUGGGGAGUACGGCCGCAAGGCUAAAACUCAAAGGAAUUGACGGGGGCCCGCACAAGCAGCGGAGCAUGUGGUUUAAUUCGAAGCAACGCGAAGAACCUUACCUGGGCUUGACAUGUGCCUGACCGCCGUGGAAACACGGCUUCCCUUCGGGGCAGGUUCACAGGUGG
rnacentral:rRNA from 1 species